UCCAUGGGAGGAGUGUGGAAUUCCGACAGCUACUAAACCUUUCUGAUGUUUCAAGUAACCAAGCCUGCUGCUACAACAGGUAAUGCCCAGGGCCACUGUCGUAGACAAGGACGAAGCUGCUUUCGUUACUGUCCAAAAGACUACAAGAAUAUUGGGAGAUGGAAUUGUAAACCUAGAUACACAUGCUGCCAAUACCUCAUUGGAAAAUAAUGCCGUCACCAUCUACCACCCUGGAUGUCUUCAAGAUAUGGCCAAUGACCUGAGAUUGCUGCUUGCUAUCACUUUAUCUUUCUUUACAUGAAUCAAAUUGCUAUGUAACAAACUCGAAAAUAUUUAUGCAUUGAAGUAAAAUUUGGCAAAUAUUCCUUCAAAUAAAGCUAAAUGAGCAUUGCA